GAUGAACGCUGGCGGCGUGCCUAAUACAUGCAAGUCGAGCGAACAGACGAGGAGCUUGCUCCUCUGACGUUAGCGGCGGACGGGUGAGUAACACGUGGAUAACCUACCUAUAAGACUGGGAUCACUUCGGGAAACCGGAGCUAAUACCGGAUAAUCUAUUGCACCGCAUGGUUCAAUAGUGAAAGACGGUUUUGCUGUCACGUAUAGAUGGAUCCGCGCCGCAUUAGCUAGUUGGUAAGUUAACGGCUUAUCAAGGCAACGAUGCGUAGGCGACCUGAGAGGGUGAUCGGCCACACUGGAACUGAGACACGGUCCAUACGCCUAAGAGAGGGAGCAGUAGGGAAUCUUCCGCAAUGGGCGAAAACCUUACGGAGCAACGCCGCGUGAGUUAUAAAGGUCUUCCGAUCGUAAAACUCUGUUAUUAGGUAAGAACAAAUGUGUAAUUAACUAUGCACGUCUUGACGGUACCUAAUCAGAAAGCCACGGCUAACUACGUG
rnacentral:rRNA from 1 species